GAUGAACGCUGGCGGCGUGCCUAAUACAUGCAAGUCGAGCGAACGGACGAGAAGCUUGCUUCUCUGAUGUUAGCGGCGGACGGGUGAGUAACACGUGGAUAACCUGCCUAUAAGACUGGGAUAACUUCGGGAAACCGGAGCUAAUACCGGAUAAUAUUUUGAACCGCAUGGUUCAAAAGUGAAAGACGGUCUUGCUGUCACUUAUAGAUGGAUCCGCGCUGCAUUAGCUAGUUGGUAAGGUAACGGCUUACCAAGGCAACGAUGCAUAGCCGACCUGAGAGGGUGAUCGGCCACACUGGAACUGAGACACGGUCCAGACUCCUACGGGAGGCAGCAGUAGGGAAUCUCCCGCAAUGGGCGAAAGCCUGACGGAGCAACGCCGCGUGAGUGACGAAGGUCUUCGGAUCGUAAAACUCUGUUAUUAGGGAAGAACAUAUGUGUAAGUAACUGUGCACAUCUUGACGGUACCUAAUCAGAAAGCCACGGCUAACUACGUG
rnacentral:rRNA from 1 species